GAUUUCUAUAGUGGGGUCACGGGGGCAAGAUCUAUUUUUGUUUUCAGAAGUCAGCUGACUAAAGUUGUGACUAUUUGUCAGAAAACAUACUUCUGAGUUCUUAGCAAUUGUUCUUUAAGUAAAUUCAACACAAACGUCAAGCAAGAUGCCGAGUAUGGAUAAAUGUCUCUUUGAAUUGAAAAUGUCUGCGAAAAAUCUGGAGCGACAGAGUAAAAAAUGUGACAAGGAAGAAAAACUUCAAAAAGCCAAGUUGAAAAGUGCUAUACA